rnacentral:lncRNA from 1 species
GUCAGCUCUGUCCCCUCCCUUGUCAGACUUCUCGUUGUGUUUUUCAGGGCUUCCUCUUGGACCGACUCCCAUCAACGUCUACGUGUGUCCCAUUGUGUGUUUCCCAAAACUUGAGACCCAGUGCUACCCAUUCCAGAACAUUCCAUCAUUAUGAAUAGCAGCAGAAGGGUGAUGGUGUAGUCAACUCCCAUGAAGGUGGCCAAGGCAAGAAGAAGGAUGGCCAGCCUAGGGGUCUCAGCAGUAACCACCUGGCUUAUAGCAUCCUGGAUAUCCCACCAUGGUAUCUCUGUAUCUUCUUGGGAGUGCAGCACUUCCUCACAGCCCUGGGGGGACUCGUGGCAGUUCCACUCAUCCUGGCCAAGGACCUGUGUUUGCAGCAUGACCCCCUGACCCAGAGCUACCUCAUCAGCACCAUUUUCUUCGUCUC